AUCGCUUCUCGGCCUUUUGGCUAAGAUCAAGUGUAGCAUCUGUUCUUAUCAGUUUAAUAGAAUGAGCACCCAGAGUGCCGUUUAAGACUCAUU
rnacentral:snRNA from 1 species